GACAGAGGGUGCAAACGUUGUUCGGAAUUACUGGGCGUAAAGCGCGCGUAGGCGGUUGCUUAAGUCGGAUGUGAAAGCCCUUGGCUUAACCGAGGAGGUGCAUCCGAAACUGAGCAGCUAGAGUACGAAAGAGGGUCGCGGAAUUCCCGGUGUAGAGGUGAAAUUCGUAGAUAUCGGGAGGAACACCAGUGGCGAAGGCGGCUUCCUGGCCUGUUCUUGACGCUGAGGCGCGAAAGCUAGGGGAGCAAACGGG
rnacentral:rRNA from 1 species